rnacentral:tRNA from 1 species
GGGGGUUUAGUUCAGUGGUAGAGCCCUUGCCUAGCACGUGUGAGGCUCUGGGUUCCAUCCCCAGCACCACCA